GUCUUUUGCCUUUUUAGGGCCACACCCUAAAAAGGUGUGGAGGUUCCCAGACUAGGGGUCUAAUUGGAGCUGUAGCUGCUGGCCUACACCACAGCCACAGCAAAGCCAGAUCCGAAUCGCGUCUGUGACCUACACCGCAGCUCACAGCAACGUGGGAUCCUUAACCCACUGAGCAAGUUUUACAGUUUUAGUUCUUACAUUUAGGCCUCUACUCUAUUUAGAGUUGAAUUUUGUAUGUGGUACUCUUCCCAUCCUUCCCCUCCAUUCCUUAGGCUCCUAGCACUAAUCUAUUCUGCCCAUCAAUACUGCUCUCAGGGAAAGAUUUAAUUAAUUCAUUCACACUAAGGCUUACAUGACUCAUAUGUUUCUCUUGUUAGAAUAUCUACAUUUCAAAAGAGGACAAAAUAUCCCAAUAAUGAAUACAAUUUCUAGUGAUGGAAUUUUUUAAUAUGAGAGUAGCUACUUAUAUAAAUUGCCUUGGUUCACUGUACUGUCUUUGUAGCCUAACUCAUUGCAGACAAAUGAAUUGUCUAUGCCUAUAUAGAUCCAUGUGGAUCAUACAACACAAUGAUGUAGUACUUUAUUUAUUUAUUUUUGCCUUUUUUGUCCUUUGUAGGGUCGUAUCCACGGCAUAUGGAGGUUCCUAGGCUAGGGGUCCAAUUGGAGUUGUUGCUGCCAGCCUACGCCAGAGCCACAACAACGCCCCAUCGGAGCCGUGUCUGCAACCUACACUAGAGUUCAUGGCAACGCCAGAUCGUUAACCCACUGAGCAAGGCCAGGGAUCAAACCCGCAACCUCAUGGUUCCUAGUCGGAUUCAUUUCCGCUGCACUAUGACAGGUACUCCAAUAUAGCGCUUUAUUAAUCAUUAUAGAAUACAGCAAUUUAUAGUAGGCUCAUAGUGUACUUUCCUCUUAGGCAGAAAAGUACAAAGUGCCCUCAAAAUCAUCAAGGAAACAUCACCAUCAUCAGUACUUACUGAACACUUAUUACAUGUUCUGUAUGCUAGACUUCAUUCUAAGGACUUUACGUAUGUUACCUGAUCUAGUCCUCACCGACACUCUAUAAGGUAACUACAUUAUGAAUCACAUAUUGUGGCUGAGGAAAUUAAGGUGCAGAGACUUAAGCAAUGUGUUCAAAGUAGGGCAGUUGCUAUUUGAAGAAAACACCAAACUAUUGAGACACCAGGGUGGAGCUGGCCUCCUCCAGGACUCCUGUGAGGCCCCCAGGAUUUACAACCUGGAAUCUAAUGAAAUUGAGAAUUUAAAAAAUUAUUAUUUUAGAGUCACAGAAUUCGAGAGUGUCCAACAUGCCUUGAAAAAUUGAAGAAAAACAAGAUCCCACCCAAAAAUCAGAAAUAAAACUAGACGCAAAACUGGUACUUCUAGUCUGUGUUCUUUGCAUUCACCCCUUCACUCAUGGUCAUUCAGUAUAAACUUUCCAUAGAAAAUGUUCAUUUACUGUAUAUGGAAAAUGUUGGGGAUACCAAAAUAUAAACAUACAGGCACAAUAAAUAAAUAAGCUCUUUGCUUGCAAAGAGACAAUAGUGUUGGGGGAAAAGUCUGAAAUCAUUGCCAUGAAGUUUGAUGAUGCACUGAUCAGCCACCUAGGGAGCAGGAGCCAGAUCUGACUGGAGGUGCCAGGAAAACUUCACAGGGAAAAAAGAGCAGAAGCUUUCAAAGGAGGCUAAGGCAGGGAAGGGCCAUCCAGGAGAGGAAGCUACAUAGGCCAGGAGACAGGCUGGGAGAUAGCAGAAGUGUCUGGGGAGGUGCAGGGACCUUGUUGCUGUUAAUAAGGCUGAAAAGAUGGGCAGACAGGUGGUGAGAAUUCUUAUGCCAGGCUGAGGAUUAACUUUUUUGUGGGAUCAUGGGUAUUCUUGGUCACAUUUGCAAUGGGAAACAGAUCAAAACUUUAAGUCUGGGAUUAAUAUAUAUAUAUACUACUAUAUAUAAAAUAGGUAAACAAUAAGGACCUACUGUAUAACACAGAGAACUAUACUCAAUAUUUUGUAAUAACCUAUAAUGGAAAAGAAUCUUAAAAAAAUCAUAUAUAUACACACAUAUAUGUAUGUAUAUAUGAGUCACUUUGGUAUGCACUUGAAAUUAACGCAUUGUAAAUUCAAUACAAAUCUGUGGAGAAGGGGUUAGAGCUGGGUAGGUGUAGUGGAUAGGGGAUUUCAAGGAUGGAAGUGACCUGGCUAGAUGUGCUCUUGGGGUAGGGGCAGGAUGGGAAUGCUUCUGAAUAGCUGGAAGGAGAAUGGAUGGAUUUACUGGGGGUCAGGUUGAGAGGCCAUUGCAUUAUUCAGAUGAGAGCACAUGAGCUCUCAUGAGGGCUGCAAAGAUGGGGGUAGGGGUGCAUUGAGUAAUAUUUAGGAAGUAAACUCACAGGGCUUGGUUACUGAGCAUAUCGGGUAUAGGGAGUAAAAGGGAAAAAGUCAAGUCUGUAUCUCUGGUUUCUGAGCUGGGAGAUGGAGUAGAGAGUAAGGCCUCUCACUUCUUUUUUUGCACUCAUGCAUGCAAGCUGUAAAAAAUUCAACCAUGCAGACCCGGAAAAAGUAACAAGUAAUAGUUCCCUUCUCCUUUCCUGUUUCACCUCCAGUGCCACCCUCCAAGGCCACUGUUAAUGCUAUCUUUGUGUAUUCCUUCAGCUGUUUUUCUACACCCAUGCUGAACUGUUAAUUUUUUAAAUACAAAGAAUGAUUCUGCUACAAAGACAUCUUGCUAAACUGUUGAAGUUUCUAGAGAGAAUGUCUGCAAUCAACUCUGCCUAUCACGGAGUUGGGCAAAGUUUCAGGAAGGGGGACAGUUUCAGCGAUGAUACUUCUUCUGGGAACCAUAUCACUGGGAGUUCAUUUGGGCUAGUCAUAGAUUCACCACUUUUUACAGCACAGUCAUUCAGAGGACCAAAAAAUUGCCACACAAUGUCCAAGUACAAUGCACCAGUAAUGAAACUGAUAAACCUUAUUUAUCUACAAUUCUCCUAUAAUAUAUCUCCAAAGUUAAAUAUAAAAAUAUAAUUCUCUUUAGUAUUCAGUGCCCUGGAAAUGCCAACAGGAUUGUUUGUAUGUACAUCAGCUUUCAAUUGGAGAAUUAGCUUUGGAAAUUUUUCUUUCCCUGUGACCUAGAUAAUAUUACUUCUACAAAUUAAAAAUAAGGAAAAUGUCAUAGGGAUGUGAAGAGAAGAUUUUGAUGGCAUACGCAACUGCAGUUGAAUGGGAUCUCACAAAUACACACACAAUACAUUAAAGUUGCUCAAGUUUUCAGAUGAAAAACAAAACCUACCUUUUUAUGGAGCCAGAAUAAAUCAUACUGAACACACUAAAUUGUGCAUGUUCCUACAGGGAAUUCACUGGUUGGGAGCUGCUACCAAGAACUGAAAUGGAAUAAAAUAGCCCCAUUUAAGAACUCUAAAUCUUUCUAAAGUUACAUUUCAGAGAGAACCUAUAACAAAAUUACAUUAGAAUGGUAACUGAGCAUACCAGAAGGUUGGGCAAGAAAAAAUUUAAUUCUCAAUUUGUCUAAAAUUUAAGUCUUAUGUUUAAUAUUUUUAACUUGGUAUAAAAAUAGAAACUAAUAGGUAGCAAGUGUUAAUUCUUGGUUCAUUGGUUUUCUUAAAAUGUGCUUAUUAUUGUAAUUGUUUCCAGUGAGGCAUCUCCCCGGUUCAGAAAGUAAUUAUAAAAUGAACAAUAAUUAUUGUAAUAAAGAAUAGAUAACAUCCAUUGAGCAUUUGUUAUGUGCCAGGUACUAUUUUGAGAUGUUUACAUCAUUCCAUUCAUCCUUACAAUCCAUUAUAUUCCCCCAUUUGAGACAUAUAACCAAUCCUGACUUCUAGUAUUGUGUAUUAUGGACUAAAGGGCUGCUUAAUCAGGGAGUCGUUUGGGGGUGACAAAACAUUCAAUGGUUUCAAAAAUAUUUGUGCAAGGAAAUCCUGUCCAAAUGAGAUGUUUGAAGCAGCUUCAUGGCUGAGAGUAAAUUACCCAGGUUGGUUACAGCAAUAAAGUGGAACUUAAGCUCUUGGUUCCAACCCCGGCAGACAGAGAGUCCAAACUCAGAAACAUUACCCUUUGACAUCUUAGAAUAGAGGUUGCCAGGUUAGGGCAUCCAACAUGGAUGCAGAGGAGAACUGUUUCCAGUUUUCAAAUUAGGGAGAGGUUGUGUAUGCCCUGGGGAGGUGCAGUGGGUAGCUGUGGAUAUGUGCCAUGACAAAGGCACCCACAUCAUCAAUGAGCUCUCACCCAGAGUUAUGAAAAGUUGAAUUUGUUGCUGUCAAAACAAUCAGACAGACCAAACAACAAAAACAAUCACAUAUAUAUGUUCCCGUUAGAAUGCUCACAAAGACAUUUUGUUAAAUGAAAAAGCCAGAUGUAGAAGAGUCUGCAGCAUGGUAUAUUAUCAUUUGUUAGAAAGCAGGUGAUGAGAGAGAAUAUAUUUACAUCUCUGCUAAGAUGGUCAGUGAAUAUAAUAGGAAAAUUUCACAAGAAAUUGCCUCAAGAGAGAGAGCCAGGGAGAUUGAAGGUCAGGGAUAGAAGGAGACUUAGUUUUCACCUGUUUACCAUUUUUUAAAUUUUGUAAACCAUGUAUAUACAUUACUACUUCAGUUAGGUAGACAAAUAAUAGAUGAGUGGAUAAAUAAGAUAUCGAUGAUCAGCAAAAUUACUUGCCCCUUCAUAUCCAUUUCUCCUUCAUAUCAGUUUCCCACUCUUCUCCACCCUGCCUGAUACCCUGAGAGGCUGAUCUUUGGUUUCCAAUUAGGUUUGGCCAAUGGAAGCACCAGUAGCAGAUCAGAGGAGAGGAAAGGAGUGACGGGUCAUCCUGCUCCCUGUGGAGUCAUAGUGGACUCCAGAAGUUGACAGAAGGGCACAGUUGCUGUCAGGUGUCCCUCUCCACACAGCCUUCUCUAUCCAUAGAUUCUGAGAACUGUGCCCUCUCCAGUCCCCUUCACUUCUCAUAGCGACUACAUCACCCCUUGUGAUUUCCCUAACUCUGCCCACACCCUUAUAAAUUGUUCCUUUAUUAAACUCUCCUGACUCGCUCAUAUUUGAGUGAGUCAAAGGUUCUGCUGGGACCCAAAGAGACAGAUAAACGGAAAAAUUGUAGACUAGAGAGAUAGAUAAUAAGUAAAUAGAUAAAUAGAUGUGAUAGAAGGAAGGGAGGGAGGAAGGAGGGGAGGGAGGGAA
rnacentral:lncRNA from 1 species